AUUGAACGCUGGCGGCAUGCCUUACACAUGCAAGUCGAACGGUAACAGGUCUUCGGAUGCUGACGAGUGGCGAACGGGUGAGUAAUACAUCGGAACGUGCCUAGUAGUGGGGGAUAACUACUCGAAAGAGUGGCUAAUACCGCAUGAGAUCUACGGAUGAAAGCAGGGGAUCGCAAGACCUUGUGCUACUAGAGCGGCCGAUGGCAGAUUAGGUAGUUGGUGGGAUAAAAGCUUACCAAGCCGACGAUCUGUAGCUGGUCUGAGAGGACGAUCAGCCACACUGGGACUGAGACACGGCCCAGACUCCUACGGGAGGAAGCAGUGGGGAAUUUUGGACAAUGGGCGAAAGCCUGAUCCAGCAAUGCCGCGUGAAGGAUGAAGGCCUUCGGGUUGUAAACUGCUUUUGUACGGAACGAAAAGCCCUGGGUUAUUACCCUGGGGUCAUGACGGUACCGUAAGAAUAAGCACCGGCUAACUACGUGCCAGCCGCCGCCGUAACAC
rnacentral:rRNA from 1 species